UACGUAGGGUGCGAGCGUUGUCCGGAAUUAUUGGGCGUAAAGAGCUCGUAGGCGGCUUGUCGCGUCGGAUGUGAAAGCCCGGGGCUUAACCCCGGGCCUGCAGUCGAUACGGGCAGACUAGAGUGUGGUAGGGGAGACUGGAAUUCCUGGUGUAGCGGUGAAAUGCGCAGAUAUCAGGAGGAACACCGGUGGCGAAGGCGGGUCUCUGGGCCAUAACUGACGCUGAGGAGCGAAAGCGUGGGGAGCGAACAGG
rnacentral:rRNA from 1 species